CGCCUCGAGCCCAAGCCAAUUAUUUUAUCAUCAUGAUUUUUAAUCUCGCUAGCGACGCUCAAUGCCUCAAUUAUUCUAGGCUUGUAGCCGACGUCGCCAUGUACCGUCACGCGACCGAUCUAUACCGUAAGAGCAAGGAGGGGGCCGGCCGGCAAACCCGGCCCCCGUGCCGGGCCACGCCACGCGCCUCGUCGGCCUUGCGAUGGAGAUGACGGGAACGCCCCCGGUGACCCUGACGUGGUGAGUCCUGCAGCCGGGUUAAACCGUCAUUUUCAAAAGAAGUUUUAUGGAUAAUAAAUAAGCUGUCACAUAGAUAAUUUUAAUGACAUGACACACUAUUAUUUAUAAGGUAAAAGAAAAGAGUGAUUUUCACGAUCUUUGUAUCUUACAUGUAGUCUUAAAACAUUAAAAAAUGAAACUAUACAUUGAACGAGCUAUUUUAUCUAUAAACUAAAGAGCUAUUUUAUCUAUAAACUAAAUACAUUCAAGCUUACUUAAC
rnacentral:lncRNA from 1 species